rnacentral:rRNA from 2 species
GCGACCCCAGGUCAAGCGGGG